AAAUAAGUAGAUAGAAUAACUUAUAAUUACAUCCUGGUUAAGUCGUCUUGUAAUAAUAUAUUCUAUACCAAUAUAAUCUUUAAGAUCUUUGUACAGGUUUCUUAAAGAUAAAUUUGAAAUCAGAAUUCCCUUUUGGAAUGUCAUAAGUUUUUUUUUUCCGUGUACUAUCAUUGUACUUAUAAAAUUAUCCAUCAAACUUAAAAUAUGGUUCUGUUCAUCCAAAUUUAUUCCAUAUGCACUGGAAUUGUCCCCUAACAUUUGCUGAGAGUUAUGAAGAUCAAACCAGUUAUUUAUCAACAAAAUUGUUUCUGAACACUAAAUAUAAACAAUUAUUAUAAUGUUAGUGCACCCGUGUCUCCAUAGUAUUGCAUUGCUUUAGCAACGGUCCUGGAAAGAAGUUGGGCCGCGGUUUUAACUUUUUGACGUUGAACUCCACUGACAUUUAAAUGAAACUCUGUCACUUUUAACCAUGUUAAAUCCAUGAUCAAUGAUGUUGUUUCUUAUCAAUUUCAAUAAAUGUGGUACAUCAGCAAAGACAUGGACGUUUUUUCCAGUGUUUGGAUGUAAAAAACUACUAUUUGUAUGGGUAACUUUCAAUGAAUUCCACAAAGAAAUUAUUGAAGCAGUCAUUGGUGUGUCAUAAGAAUAAAAGACUGGCUGCUUCCAAGAUUUGAAGAGUCCUCUAACCAUGACCACUUGCACAGUUUGAUGUGGUCCUAAAACUUGAUCAAUUGCUUUAUCAUAGCAUACAUCAUGUGCUAUGUAAACUUCAUCAAAAGAGAGAACAACAAUUUUAUCUCUAUCAGAUAUGGAUGUACCUUAAAUAAUAGAAAGACCUAAAAUACGACUACAUGUUCAGUCGAAAUAGUCCACAUCAGUUUUGAAAUAAUUGAAUACUUGGCAAUGGAAUAGUUUGAAGCAGAUAUGAAUAAGCGGCUGUAGAAAUACUUCUGAGUGUUAUCGCUGAUACAAUAUCCUCAUUCUCCCACUUUUUAAUUUUUUUUUUGUCAUUUAAAAAUCAACUACAAGACAAACAAGAAAAAAAUUGUACAAACAUUUCAGAGUUGUCAAUGGGUAAAAAAGACACAUCAUGUUCAAAUUCAUUAACAAGAAACCUCGGGAUGAAUGGUUUUUUACAGUCAUCGAGAACUUCAACCUUUGGUACCUGCAUCAUAUAUCAAGUUGUAUUACAAAUUAUGUUAUGCUCAUAUAUAUGCUAUCAUAGGUAGUUAAGAAAAUAGUGAUAAAGAAAUAAACUAUUUUUAACAAUGUUUUAUGUAUUACCAAGGGACAUUCAUUGAAAGAAUCCGCGUUCGGUAAAAUUUCUGGAUUUGAGAAUGUUGAGACUUCAGCAGUUUGUUGGAUAGAAUUUAAUUUAACACUAGAGCUUUUUAUCU